CCUACGGGGGGCAGCAGUGGGGAAUAUUGGACAAUGGGCGAAAGCCUGAUCCAGCCAUGCCGCGUGUGUGAAGAAGGCCUUCGGGUUGUAAAGCACUUUCAGUGGGGAAGAAAGCCUUGGGGCUAAUACCCUCGAGGAAGGACAUCACCCACAGAAGAAGCACCGGCUAACUCCGUGCCAGCAGCCGCGGUAAUACGGAGGGUGCGAGCGUUAAUCGGAAUUACUGGGCGUAAAGCGCGCGUAGGCGGUCUGAUAAGCCGGUUGUGAAAGCCCCGGGCUCAACCUGGGAACGGCAUCCGGAACUGUCAGGCUAGAGUGCAGGAGAGGAAGGUAGAAUUCCCGGUGUAGCGGUGAAAUGCGUAGAGAUCGGGAGGAAUACCAGUGGAGAAGGCGGCCUUCUGGACUGACACUGACGCUGAGGUGCGAAAGCGUGGGUAGCAAACAGGAUUAGAUACCCUAGUAGUC
rnacentral:rRNA from 1 species